rnacentral:misc_RNA from 1 species
GUGAAUCAUCGAAUUUUUGAACGCAAAUUGCACUCUCUGGGGAUAGGAUGCCUGUUUGAGGUUCAGCCUAAGAAAAAUCGACAUAGUCGCUGUUUUCGCGGUGUCAUUCGUCGGAAGGUGGGUCAGCUUAAAGCUGUUGGUUUUAAGCGGCUGAAAAUUUUCUUAACGGAUUCCACGGACGUUUUUAAGUUUUACUUCUUAGACACGUUUAAGGUAUCGGUCUUUAUUAGGC